rnacentral:snRNA from 2 species
AUACCUUUCACCUUUUUGGCUAAGAUCAAGUGUAGUAUCUAUUUUUAUUAGUUUAAUAAUAUCUAAUAUAUGAAUCAUCGACGAAUCCCAUGAUGUGUUGCUAUUGGGGCCUUCAUGUGUUGCCUUAGCUUUGCACGAUUGCCUUGGCCUGGCUAAUCUAAU